rnacentral:misc_RNA from 1 species
UUCAUGUGGCACUAAUAGUGGUGCAGCAGGAUAUAAUCUGAAGGUUUCCUUGAUAAUAGCUUGGAGAUAAAUCAAAUUCUGUGUGUCGGACUCCUUCACUUGCCUUUCUCGACCAACAUGAACGUCUAAUUCAUUUUGGGCCCUCUUCAAGACAUCAGGAUUAUUUAGUAGUAAAGACAAAGCCCAAGUCAUUGUAAUUGUUGUGGUGUCCGAGGCUGCUAAAAUAAGACUCAGGCACGUAGCUUUGUUGAUAGUGUCAACAUCUUGUCUGUAAAGCUCUUUUGCGUCAUUCAGAAUGGACAACAGAGCCCCCAUGAAAUCUUCCUCUCCCUUUGCUAUGGUGGUUCCUUUCUUCUGCUUGCGUUCUUCUAACCACUGUACAACAACAUGGUCUAGGCUUUUGAGGGUCUUCUUCAUCUUCCUCUCGACUCCCCCCAAAUCCAACCACCUUAAAUAUGGAAGCGCAUCUGAUACCGCAAAUUCCCCUGACAAAUCCAUAAAUUCCCUCAGAGCAUCUCGCCAUACGUCACUCUCUUGACUCUCGCUACUAUUUGUAUACUCCACAUAUCGCUUCCCUACAAUUAUCUUUAAUAUCACAUUUAAAGUUAUGUCCCAAAACCAUCUCUUCAUAUCUACCGUAAGCUUAUCGAAAUUACUUUUGUUCUUGAUCCAUUCCUGAUAUAACCCUUUUAUGGCAGCUUUCACCUCAGCUUCCCUCACAUGCUUUAGCAUCUCAAGCCGAUGAUUGGACAGAAGCUCAAGAGUGACUAUCUUACGAAUUUGGCGCCAGUAUUCUCCGUAAGGACUGAAGCCAAGCAUGGAAUAAUCGUAGCCUAAGAUUUCCAUGGCAAGUGCCUUUGGACGAUUUGCCAAAGCUUUGUCAUUGGUAGUGAAACAUUCCUUAGCAAUCUGCCAAUUACUUAUGACCACUGUUCGAUGGACGCCAAUCUUGAUGGUGAAAAUGGGACCGUACUUGUCAGCCAAUUUUCCAAGGAUUAUGUGAGGUGGCUGUGGGCCUGCUAGGAGAUGAAGGUGGCCAAUAACAGGCCAAGCACCAGUGGGUUCUGGCGGUACUCUCUUCUUACAUGCCUUAGUCGAAGUCCAAAACGAAGAGUAGAUGAACCAAGUUACAAGGGCGAGUAUGGUGAGCAUAACACUUGCUGAGAAGGGAGAAACAGACUCCAUGUGGCUAGCUUAAAAAAUUGGGAGUAUGUUUGGCAUUAAACAAAAAAGGGGACCAUUUAUAGAGUGGGGAAAUUCCUGCGUCUAAGCAAGAG